rnacentral:rRNA from 1 species
GAUGAACGCUGGCGGCGUGCCUAAUACAUGCAAGUCGAGCGAAUGGAUUAAGAGCUUGCUCUUAUGAAGUUAGCGGCGGACGGGUGAGUAACACGUGGGUAACCUGCCCAUAAGACUGGGAUAACUCCGGGAAACCGGGGCUAAUACCGGAUAAUAUUUUGAACUGCAUGGUUCAAAAUUGAAAGGCGGCUUCGGCUGUCACUUAUGGAUGGACCCGCGUCGCAUUAGCUAGUUGGUGAGGUAACGGCUCACCAAGGCAACGAUGCGUAGCCGGCCUGGGAGGGGGAUCGGGCACACUGGGACUGAGACACGGCCCAGACUCCUACGGGAGGCAGCAGUAGGGAAUCUUCCGCAAUGGACGAAAGUCUGACGGAGCAACGCCGCGUGAGUGAUGAAGGCUUUCGGGUCGUAAAACUCUGUUGUUAGGGAAGAACAAGUGCUAGUUGAAUAAGCUGGCACCUUGACGGUACCUAACCAGAAAGCCACGGCUAACUACGUGCCAGCCACCGCCGCGG